AUUGAACGCUGGCGGCAGGCCUAACACAUGCUAGUCGAACGGUAACAGGAAGCAGCUUGCUGCUUCGCUGACGAGUGGCGGACGGGUGAGUAAUGUCUGGGAAGCUGCCUGAUGGAGGGGGAUAACUACUGGAAACGGUAGCUAAUACCGCAUAAUGUCGCAAGACCAAAGAGGGGGACCUUCGGGCCUCUUGCCAUCGGAUGUGCCCAGAUGGGAUUAGCUUGUUGGUGGGGUAACGGCUCACCAAGGCGACGAUCCCUAGCUGGUCUGAGAGGAUGACCAGCCACACCGGAACUGAGACACGGUCCAGACUCCUACGGGAGGCAGCAGUGGGGAAUAUUGCACAAUGGGCGCAAGCCUGAUGCGGCCAUGCCGCGUGUAUGAAGAAGGCCUUCGGGUUGUAAAGUACUUUCAGCGGGGAGGAAGGGAGUAAAGUUAAUACCUUUGCUCAUUGACGUUACCCGCAGAAGAAGCACCGGCUAACUCCGUG
rnacentral:rRNA from 1 species